GUGAAAGCAUGUACAGGAUCGCAGUUAAAUGUUGGGUUACCGUUGAAGUAACAGUCAUUUUUGCUAUUUGUAGCAUAUUUUAUUAUAUUCCAGGUUUAGGGUUUGUGCUCGAGAAUGGUAUGAGAAAAGUGACGGGAUUAAAUAUCCCUAAAACCAACUACUGGGAAACAUUUCUUGGAUGGGAAAUGUUUAAGUCAGUUUGGAAAUCAAGAGUUGUCGAUAUUACAAA